rnacentral:rRNA from 1 species
UACGAAGGGGCUAGCGUUGUUCGGAAUUACUGGGCGUAAAGCGCACGUAGGCGGAUUUGUUAGUCAGGGGUGAAAUCCCGGGGCUCAACCUCGGAACUGCCUUUGAUACUGCAAGUCUCGAGUCCGGAAGAGGUGAGUGGAAUUCCUAGUGUAGAGGUGAAAUUCGUAGAUAUUAGGAAGAACACCAGUGGCGAAGGCGGCUCACUGGUCCGGUACUGACGCUGAGGUGCGAAAGCGUGGGGAGCAAACAGGG